rnacentral:lncRNA from 1 species
GUGAUGAUCAUCCAGUCGUAAUUCUAGGAUGAGUUACGUUCAUGUUAUAGGUUACCAAAUGUGUGUGACCGUGAUUGUCCAUCAACGACCAUGUACUUCCUAAUUCGGCUUCAAGUGACUAACAUGGACAAAUUCCCUCAACCUUUGGUGUCCAACCAUGACCUCCAACACUCCAAACACACUUUACCAUCAAUUUCCAAUAACAAGCACUGGCCUCAUGGGAAAAAAUAACAAAAAUCAUACUUGGUC